GCCUCCCAGAGGCCGCCACUUUCUUCAGGGCUAUCAGAUGAAGGCAGCAACGAAAACACCACCACAAGACCAACUUCAGGCUGGAGCUGAUGAUGCCACACAGGUAUAAUAUUAGGCAGAAACCCAAUAUAAAAAGAAAAGCAGAGUUGUUGUAGAUUCAUCGAGGGUUGGCGACCUGGUUCCAAUGAGCCAUCUCCCUGUUCCGACAGGGGCUUCCUGGAGCUCCUGCAACCCCAGGCAUUAGUUCCGGUGCAGUUCUAGGAUCAGAUCAAUUCACUCGACAACAAGAGAAACAAAUGGAGAUUCCUACACAAAGACUUUCAAGCACAAAGAAAUCCUGCUGCCUGUAAAGCGGAGCUGCCUCAGCCCUUGAUGAACGACAGAAAAUCUCACAUUCCAGGAAUUCAGAUGAAGUGAAGUGCUCUCAUGGGGACCAGGCAUGGUUAUGCCAGUCCACUGCCCUGCAAGCCUCAAGGGAAGCCAACUGCCCUUCAGCAAGUCACACCUGCCUUGGUGGAGGCCUUGAUUGGAAGUGCCACACGCUACAUGUCCAGUCCUGAGCGGGAGAAUCGGUGUAGGGACGUUCUGGGGAUGCCAGCUGUGGCCAGAUCAGGUCCAACUACAGAAGAAUAAUGAAGACUCCACCUGAGGGCUGGAAAAACAAAACCUCAAGUGUGAGGCAGCCAACCUGUUACCUCGAGGGACUGUUCCGCAGCACAGCGGGGCCAUGGGAACAGCAGCAGACACCCCGACCUCCUCGCUACCUAUCAACUAUGGCCUGAGUAUGAUAGACUUAUCCAUGGUUUAAACAGAAUAUAUUGUUUUCAACUUUGAAAAUAAGAAUAUGGAAAUCCAGAUGCAGAAAUGUGAGAAGAAAAGAGAGUAAACAGAGUGGAAGGUCAGGUGACCUUGCCUGUCAUGAAUAUGAAGGUCAAGGUGUGUGAAUUGUGAAAUUUCCAAGAGAACCUCACUGAAGCAAAGAAUGAAGAAAGAAUUGCAUUUGGCCCUGGGAGGGUGCAGGGGUGAAUGGUGCAGGAGCUAAAUCUUUAUCAUACCCAGAAAUCAACAGCCACUAUUUGAAAUCAUCUAAAUUCGUGCUGCUAACCUUCAGUGUACACACGAAUCACCUGGGGAUCUUACUAAAAGCUAGUU
rnacentral:lncRNA from 1 species